AGAGUUUGAUCCUGGCUCAGGAUGAACGCUAGCGACAGGCCUAACACAUGCAAGUCGAGGGGCAGCACAUGAGUAGCAAUACGAUGGUGGCGACCGGCGCACGGGUGAGUAACACGUAUGCAACCUACCUGUAAGAGGGGAAUAACCCGGAGAAGUUCGGAUUAAUACCGCAUAAAACUGUAUUACCGCAUGGUAAAACAUUUAAACAUUUAUGGCUUACAGAUGGGCAUGCGUAUGAUUAGAUAGUUGGUGAGGUAACGGCUCACCAAGUCAACGAUCAUUAGGGGUUCUGAGAGGAAGGUCCCCUACACUGGUACUGAGACACGGACCAGACUCCUACGGGAGGCAGCAGUGAGGAAUAUUGGUCAAUGGGCGAGAGCCUGAACCAGCCAAGUCGCGUGAAGGAAGAAGGUUCUAUGGAUUGUAAACUUCUUUUGUAAGGGAAUAAAAAGAGUUACGUGUAACUUAUUGUAUGUACUUUACGAAUAAGGAUCGGCUAACUCCGUGCCAGCAGCCGCGGUAAUACGGAGGAUCCAAGCGUUAUCCGGAUUUAUUGGGUUUAAAGGGUGCGUAGGCGGACCCUUAAGUCAGUGGUGAAAGUUUGCGGCUCAACCGUAAAAUUGCCAUUGAAACUGAGGGUCUUGAGUGUAAAUGGGGUAGGCGGAAUGUGUUGUGUAGCGGUGAAAUGCUUAGAUAUAACACAGAACACCAAUUGCGAAGGCAGCUUACUGGGAUACAACUGACGCUGAGGCACGAAAGCGUGGGGAUCAAACAGGAUUAGAUACCCUGGUAGUCCACGCAGUAAACGAUGAAUACUAGCUGUAUGCGAUAUACUGUAUGCGGCACAGCGAAAGCGUUAAGUAUUCCACCUGGGGAGUACGUUCGCAAGAAUGAAACUCAAAGGAAUUGACGGGGGCCCGCACAAGCGGA
rnacentral:rRNA from 1 species